GUGCUCACUUCGGCAGCACAUAUACUAAAAUUGGAACGAUACAGUGAAGAUUAGCAUGGCCUGUGUGCAAGGAUGACACGCAAAUUCAUGAAGUGUUCCAUAUUUUU
rnacentral:snRNA from 1 species